rnacentral:rRNA from 1 species
UACAGAGGGGGCGAGCGUUAUUCGGAAUUAUUGGGCGUAAAGGGCGCGUAGGCGGCCUUUCAAGUGACGGGUGAAAUCCCUCGGCUUAACCGAGGAACUGCCUGUCAGACUGGAAGGCUUGAGACCGGGAGAGGUGAGUGGAAUUCCCAGUGUAGCGGUGAAAUGCGCAGAUAUCGGGAGGAACACCAAUGGCGAAGGCAGCUCGCUGGGACGGUACUGACGCUGAGACGCGAAAGCGUGGGGAGCAAACAGG